rnacentral:rRNA from 1 species
AUUGAACGCUGGCGGCAGGCCUAACACAUGCAAGUCGAGCGAGCGGCGGGGGGGGGAGUAAUGUAUGGGGACUGCCCGAUAUAGGGGGAGAACUACUGGAAACGGUAGCUAAUACCGCAUACUAUCGGAUAACCCAUAUGGGGUUAGCUAGUAGGUGGGGUAAUGGCUCACCUAGGCGACGAUCCCUAGCUGGUCUGAGAGGAUGAUCAGCCACACUGGGACGGAGACACGGCCCAGACUCCUACGGAGGCAGCAGUGGGGAAUAUUGCACAAUGGGCGCAAGCCUGAUGCAGCCAUGCCGCGUGUAUGAAGAAGGCCUUAGGGUUGUAAAGUACUUUCAGUCGGGAGGCGUUACCGACAGAAGAAGCACCGGCUAACUCCGUGCCAGCAGCCGCGGUAAUAC